UACGGGGGGGAGCAAGCGUUUGUUCGGAUUUACUGGGCGUAAAGGGCGCGUAGGCGGCCAGCACAAGUCAGUUGUGAAAUCUCCGAGCUUAACUCGGAAAGGUCAACUGAUACUGUGCGGCUAGAGUGCGGAAGGGGCAACUGGAAUUCUUGGUGUAGCGGUGAAAUGCGUAGAUAUCAAGAGGAACACCUGCGGCGAAGGCGGGUUGCUGGGCCGACACUGACGCUGAGGCGCGAAAGCCAGGGGAGCGAACGGGG
rnacentral:rRNA from 1 species